UCCGCGGCUUUAGUCUUCAGUGUUAUUGUGUUGCUUGUCUCUGUUUAUCGGUUUUGAUCGUUUUGAUUGAGUGUUCACGAGUGAGGUAAUUAUAAAUAUGAAGUGAAAUCAAGCAAUUAACAUUUUCCAAUUAAAGGAAAUUACUUCUGCGUGGUACAAACCGUCGAAGCUAGUGGUCACUGUGGUUCCGUAGAAUUCAGGAAAGACAGCUACCUCAAUUCAAGAAUUUGGCUUUUAUCAUUUGCUAGAACAUAACGGAACUUCAAUGAAAUUUACACCAAAGGAAGAUGGUGCAUUUGACCGCGAUGAGUAGUUGCUGGAGGAGUGAUUACUGAUGAUGCGGGAGGAGAGGAUGGAACAAUGUAGCUACAACAAAACGACAACACAGAAAAAGAAAGGUGUAAAAGAUUGUGUAUUAUGCCACUUUCUGCAUAGUUUUAAAUUAUAUAUAUUGUUUAUUCAAAAGCAAGCUUAAUCUGUAAUCUGUAAAUCUGUAUUAGGACAUAAAAAAAGUUUCAACAUUAUGUAUUCCUACUGAAUGUACGAAAAUAGAAGGAUUUUUAUUUAAUAAAAGGCACUUUUUCAUCACACAUC